ACAGCAGCAGCCGCGGUAAUACGGAGGGUGCAAGCGUUAAUCGGAAUUACUGGGCGUAAAGCGCACGCAGGCGGUCUGACAAGUCAGAUGUGAAAUCCCCGGGCUUAACCUGGGAACUGCAUUUGAAACUGUCAGGCUGGAGUCUUGUAGAGGGGGGUGGAAUUCCAGGUGUAGCGGUGAAAUGCGUAGAGAUCUGGAGGAAUACCGGUGGCGAAGGCGGCCCCCUGGACAAAGACUGACGCUCAGGUGCGAAAGCGUGGGGAGCAAACAGGAUUAGAUACCCCGGUAGUUCCUGUCUCUUAUAU
rnacentral:rRNA from 1 species